rnacentral:rRNA from 1 species
UACGAGUGCCCCAAGCGUUAUCCGGAAUCAUUGGGCGUAAAGGGUGUGUAGGUGGUCUGGUUAGUCUUCUGUCAAAAUCCGGAGCUCAACUCCGAACCGGCAGUGGAAACGGCUAGACUCGAGGAUGCGAGAGGUAAAUGGAACUCAUGGAGUAGGGGUGAAAUCCGUUGAUAUCAUGGGGAACACCAAGGCGAAGGCAAUUUACUAGCGCACUCCUGACACUGAGACACGAAAGCGUGGGUAGCGAACGGG